rnacentral:rRNA from 1 species
UACGUAGGGUCCGAGCGUUGUCCGGAAUUACUGGGCGUAAAGCGCGCGCAGGCGGCCCGCGAGGUGUCACGUGAAAGCCCCGGGCUCAACCCGGGAGGGUCGUGGCAAACCGGCGGGCUUGAGGCCGGUAGAGGUGGGUGGAACUCCUGGUGGAGUGGUGAAAUUCGUAGAUAUUGGGAAGAACACCGGUGGCGAAGGCGGCUAUCUGGACCGUAACUGACGCUGAGGCGCGAAAGCGUGGGGAGCAAACAGG